UUCAGCAUGCUUGACCCUAGCUGAGGACUUUUAUGGUAAAAAGUGGACUAAGCAUUUGUUUCUUGUUAUGUUUUGUUCGUUUGCUUAUUUGUUUGUUUUCUUGUAGAAAUGACUUACACUGCAUGGACCAAAGCUGAAGUUUGCCAUUGGCUUCAAAAAGAGGGGUUUGCUGAUUACUGCAAGACAUUUUCUGGUGGGGUAUAAUGAAUUUUCAGUGUCAACGUUGUCCGAUUAAAUCCAGAACACAAAAGAGAUACCUGAAACAUCUAGAAAUAUAUCAUGAAAGUGAACCUAGCUUCGUUGUUGAAUGCGGCCAAAAUGGAUACCCCAGUACUUACACCAAAAUAUCAUCCCUUCGAAAACACAUAAACCGGAAGCACAGAACGACAGUUACUAAAAAUCUGUCUGGAGGAAAAGGCAGAAGUUGAACAAAACCUCAAUAUCCUUUUGGAGGACAACAUAUUUGACUCAUGUUUUGAGGACAUUAAUAGUGAAUAUAAGUUCUAUCAGUGCUGCAUCAAUGACUUUGGCCUUGUAGAGCCAAUUGAGUAUCUGCUUGGACACGAUUCACAUGGGAAGAAGGAAUCCUUCCAAUAUAUUCCAAUCGUGAAAGUUCUGCAAACCAUUCUUACCAGAAGUGACGUUAGGAAUCAUGUUUUAGAGGAUCUUAGGGUGUCUACAGGAGGCAUUCUAGGCGACUUUUGCGAUAGAUCAAUUUUUAGGAAUCACCCUUUUUUCAGUGUUGCAGAAAAAAAAUUGCAGAUACAGUUAUGCACUGAUGAAUUUGAGGUUUUGAAUUGUUUGGGGUCUAAGCAGUUGAAACACAAAAUAUUGACUUUUUAUUUUGUUAUUGUAAAUCUACCCCCAAAGUACAGAUCACAACUACAGAACAUUCAUGUUGCUAUCAUUGUGAGACACAAGUUUGUGCAGAAAUAUGGAUAUGAAUCAGUUCUGAGACCACUGAUAGCUGACUUGUUGAAACUCCAAGUUGACGGGUUGACCAUCAAUAUUAACAGCGAACAACAUACAAUCAAAGGGGCACUCGUAUCUAUAGUGUCCGACAAUCUUUCCGCUCACUCUUUGGCUGGAUUCUCUACUUGUUUCAGCAGUGGAAGAAUUUGCAGGCAUUGUCUGUGCCGCCAUGAGGAGUUAGCAGUCCACACUGCUGAAAAUUCCUGUGUACUACGUACACCUGCUGUUCAUAAUUGUCAUGUGGACCAUCCUGAUAGACAGGCUUAUGGUGUGACACCCUGUCCAUUUGAUGUCAUUCCUCACUAUGUGGUUUCUGAGAAGUUUCCCCCAGACGUCAUGCAUGACGUUCUGGAAGGCACCAUUCCACACAUAAUUAAGUUGCUAUUGCAACAGUUUCAAGAGGAGAAAAUUGUAACCCUCCACAAGUUCAAUACUCAAUUGAACAAACUUUGCUUUGGCCAGAAUGACAGGAAGCAUAAGCCUGUGCCUCUAAAAGAAUCAGUUCUCCAUGAUGCAGCUCUGCCCGGGAAAGCAAUAGAAAAGUGGACUCUCUUUCGCCUCUUUCCUCUAAUGAUUGGUAGAUUUGUUCCCAAAGACAGCCCUCUCUGGCAUCUGUACCUGCUUCUGGGGAACAUUUGUGACAUCAUCUUAGCCCCACAAAUCAAACUCAGUUGGCUUGGGUACCUGUCCUCCCUCAUCUCUGAAUUUCUGGCAGAGUUCCAGCUCCUUUGAUCCUUUUUCCUGGCAAAUUUACCCACAAAAUCCACUAUCUUGUCCACUAUCCACGACUCAUUCGUGAAUUUGGGCCUCUCAGAGCACAUUGGUGCAUUCGGUUUGAAGCCAAACAUUUGUAUUUCAAGCAGCUAUCAUCUGUUGUAUGCAACUUCCAGAACAUUUCAUUAACACUUGCUAACAGAUAUCAAAAUGCGCCAGUGUUACGAUAUACAGAAAGGCACGGCCACUGCUGUGGCACCUGGUGCAUGUAGAGAAGUACCUCUAUCCAAACUACAAGCACUGAAAGAAGUGAUCACUUCUGUGGACUUUAAAAAUGAAACAGUCUGGAAGACUGAAAAAAAUUGUAAUAGACAGUACCACAUAUAAAGUUGGAGAUUUCUUUGUACUUGAUGUGGUUCAUGGGGAAGAGGUCCCAAUUUUUGUAAAAGUCCUCCAUAUUGUUAAGUAUCGGGGUCAGUGGCUGGCUUGUGGACUUAUCUAUACAUCAACACAUUUUGAGAAGCACCUUCAUGCGUACUGUGUCCAAAACACAAGGAAGUGCGUUGCCUUCAAACCAGGGGAUGAAGCAGAUUUCCAUCCACUAGAUGCAUAUACAGAUGUUAAUGACAACCUGUUCAUCACUCUGCACCACAAGCCACUAGGCCAUGGCGUCCUAGAAGACUGACACAGAGUGAGCAAAACACAACACUACAUAAAAUAAUGUCAUUUGUUUUCUUUUCUUAUCAAAUAAUAAUUUAUAUUUCUUUUGCUUUGAAGAGAAUGACAUUGAUGGAGCGACCCUCACAUUACUAACUGAGAGGAUGACGGAGAGAUUGUUCCCCUCAAUAAAAAGACAAGCUCAGUUCCUUAGGUGCCUUCAGGACCUGAAGUCAUCGUCAUCGUCGUUGUCAUCUUUGUCUUCAUCUUCAUCAACAACAACAACAGAUGAAACCAGAUCUCAUGAUGAGCAAACAGCUAGUGCUUCACUGCAGUUUGUUUUUCCCAAAACCCUAAGGGAUGCACUUGACGCGAAGGAUCCAGAGCUUCUGGCCCCUCAGAGAACCAAUAUUAAAUCUGUUCUUAUACAAACAAGCUCUUUAUGACACCCUCAGCAACAAAACUAUGUAGGUUCCUUUAUAAUUCUUAUGGACAAUUACUGCACAUUGUAGCUUUUAGUUGAGAUUAUAAACCACUUUUUACAUUGGGGAUGCCUGCAGACAUAUCAGAAUACAUACCUAUCUUAGGUUUACUGUUGCUACUCUCACUCGGAGCCUCCACUGAUGUGUAAUCUUGCUAUAGUAUGUACAAACAUUUAAAACUUGUUCCACUUACUCUUCAACCCCCCCCCUUCAAAAAAAAGGUAUCCCUCAGCAAAACAAUAUACGGAGAUUUUAAGCCGGUUCACACGCAAGUAUCCCUUCAUGCGGGAGAAAGUUGGUUCAGGACAUGUGAGUAAGCACAAAAUUAGGCUGUUAGUAUUUGUUCACAUUCAGCUCCAUUGUAAGGAUAUAGCUACUGUAACUCCCCUGUCUUGGUUGCAGGAUGCUUUACGUGACUCUUUAAAAAACAAAUUCAAAAAGGAAAGGCGACCCCUUAUUGGUGACUCAAUGGUGCAACAAAUGCGUGCAAAAUUUGCUGUGGCAGGAUCUGGAAGGAAGCGUAGUUUUCCGGGUCAACCAAGCCAGCUUCUCCACAUCAACAGGCCCACUUUUUCUUGAAUGCAUAUAGGCUCAGGAGAGUGAAGAAUGUCGAGAGGAUGAAAGGAGCAUUGAAGCUCAUAUCAAUGAAAUGUCUACAGAGAUGCUUAAGCUUCUGUGGGAGAUGAAGGAGCAAUUCCUUGUAGAAGCUGAUCGCAGAAUGGUCACAGAGCUGGAUCGAAUGGCAACGAAGAUGGUUCAAAGAGCAUCUAUGUGUGACCUAAAGGACUGCUGCCAGAGGGCAAUCAAUGCCUGCCUGGAUGAUUCAGUAAGACGAGGACUCAUUAGGGAUGCAGCAAUUCUACUGCUGCCUUCCAUUUUCAGAGAGGACUCAUCCUUUCUAUACACUCUACUGGAGGAGCCAAGCGUGCCUACUCCAGCAAUCAUGCUCUAUAACACACACGAGGGGAACCCUUUGCAGGCACAAAGGAUAACCCUAUACCUGGAUGGUAUACAGGUUUUGACUGAGGACAAUGUCACUCUAUUUUGUUUUUGCUGUCCAGUUCCCAAAGGAACUGAGAAAAACUCUUAUUUUAUUGAAAGAUUUGUGUUGGGGAUCAAGAACCACAGUGUUGUACCCAUUUCAGUGAAAAGACUAUACAACUGUGUCGGAAGUGGGGAGUAGUGAGUAGAUGUGUUGCAGCAUGGGAUUUCAUGCUUUAUGUUCUUGUUAAUGGUCAAAUUCCUGCUGCUGCCGUUUGUUUGUACAUAUUGAUAAAAAAAAAAUAUCCCUUAUUUAAUACAUAUUUUGGACCAAUACAUUUUGUUUGAUUUUGUCAUAGUGAAUAGGUUUCCAUUAUUGUUACAAUAUGUAACAUUUUGAGUAAUUGUUACAUAACACUGAAAAGUAUUCCAACAUUAUUUAAAUCAAUGUGAAAACUCCCUGCGUGGGUUCUAGAUGAAACCCUUGAAAUACGAAAGGGUUCUUAGUGGAACUCCCUGUGUGGGUUCUAGAUGAAACCCUUGAAACAUGAAAGGGUUCCUAGUGGAACUCCCUGCGUGGGUUCUUUGUAGAACCUCUCAUGGGGGGUUCUGAGUGGAACCUUACACACACAGUUCUAGGUAUAACCCUUCAUGUUGGGUUCUAGAUAGAAGCCUCCAAAAGGGUUCCAGGUGGAACCUUUAUAAAAAGGUUCAACCUGGAGCCAAAAAGGGUUCUCCUAUGAGGAUGAGCCGAAGAACCUUAUAUGGUUCUACUUAGCACUUUUAAUUCUAAGAGUGUACUCGCUCUCAUGUGCUACCGCUCUACACCCUGCACCUCCACUGGUGCAAGCCCAGCUGAACUGCUUAUGGGCAGGAAGAUAAAAACAACACUUCCAACACUUGAGAAAAACCUACUUCCUCGAUGGCCUAACCUGAAAACCGUCAGGAGCAAAGAUGCAGAGGAGAAGGAGAAACACGCGUUCUACUUCAACCUCCGACAUGGAGCAAAGCUGGUGGUCCUGUCCGCGUCAAACUGGACCAUCAGCACGCCUGGAGAACACCCGCUGUCAUCACCGCUGACUGCGCAACUCCAAGAUCAUACAUCAUCGAGACUGAACAGGGGGCGACACUGAGGCGCACCGUCAUCACCUGCAACAUGUUCCUGAGCCAACUGGAGACACACCAACUCUACCUUCAGAUGGACAGCUACAUGACACUGCUACACAGCAGCCUUCCCCCGCCAUUACUACUGACACUGUUUCACCAACACUCGAUUACCGUCCACCUCCUGCCAAAGAUGGACUGGAUACACGCUCGGGCAGACUGAUAAAACCUGUGGACAAACUGACUCUGUAAACAUGAGAGACUUACCAAAAAAAAAAAAAAAAAAAAGAAGAGUCUGAAACAGAUAUGUAAAAUGUUGUGCUUUGAUGCUGCUGUUGCUUUGUUGUUCUGAGCAGAUUGAAUAUUGCUUGAUUAUUGUAUUGAUUGAUUAUUGAUGCUAGGUGAUCUUGUUUUCGAAGACUUAAAAAGAAAAGCUGUGAAUGCAUAUACAGUGUGAUUUUUUUUUUGUUUACAAGGAAAGAAAAACGAAAGUUAAAAAAGGGAGAUGUCAUAUAUGUUGUAUAUGUAUGUAUGUGCUGCGGUUGCUUUAAGAACAUUGCGACAGCUGCCGUAAAGGAGGUGCGUUAAUAGCCUGGUUGCUAUGUUUUCCGGUUAGUCUAAAAAAGUGUUCGUCAUGUGUUUGUACCCUGCUCAAAUCUCUCAGUAGUUAUUCAUUGGAUUAUACCUUUUGUUUGAACUUUAUUACAAAUUAUAUUUUGUUUUUUUGUUGUUUUACUUUUGUAGCUGUAUGUAUAAAUGGCACUGCUGGAGUGGCAGCUGGUUGCAUCAGCUCUGCUCUUUUAAUGUCUUUAAUGUCCUUUGUAUUCUUUGAUGUUUCCCUCUUAAAUACAUGUUUAUGUGUGCCAUGGCUAUGAGUUUUUUUUUUCCUUGGCUUCAGUCUGGAACCCCUCUACAGGGGCCCAGGUUUAGACUGAAUAUUUUUGUUUGUUUUUGUUUUUGUUUUUCUACUUUUUUUUAAGCCGUUUUUAAGUUAGCUCUAACCACUUUGUAUUACCAAAGGCUGUUUUGUUAAUGUCUCAAGCUAUGCGCACAUGAACACAUUUAAUCGGAUUAAAAGACCAACUGGAAUAAAAAUGCUCCAG